AACGAACGCUGGCGGCAGGCCUAACACAUGCAAGUCGAGCGAGACCUUCGGGUCUAGCGGCGGACGGGUGAGUAACGCGUGGGAAUAUGCCCUUUGGUACGGAAUAGCCUCGGGAAACUGAGAGUAAUACCGUAUGUGCCCUUCGGGGGAAAGAUUUAUCGCCAAAGGAUUAGCCCGCGUUGGAUUAGGUAGUUGGUGGGGUAAUGGCCUACCAAGCCUACGAUCCAUAGCUGGUUUGAGAGGAUGAUCAGCCACACUGGGACUGAGACACGGCCCAGACUCCUACGGGAGGCAGCAGUGGGGAAUCUUAGACAAUGGGGGCAAUCCUGAUCUGGCCAUGCCGCGUGAGUGAUGAAGGCCUUAGGGUUGUAAAGCUCUUUCAGCUGGGAAGAUAAUGACGGUACCAGCAGAAGAAGCCCCGGCUAACUCCGUGCCAGCCGCCGCUGUAA
rnacentral:rRNA from 1 species